rnacentral:lncRNA from 1 species
AAAAGAGUACGCCCAUCUCAUUGAUUUAUUCCAGCAGAGGAAGAGGUGUGAGUGUGUCAGAACAGUACGAUCAACUAAUCUAUAAUCUUAACUCUUGAUGAUUUAUAGAUGGAAAUGGAUUCUUAGUUUACCUUGUGGUGCUACCUUCUUUAACAUAACCUAUGACAGCGGAUCGGAUGGGCAGUUUAAUUAACAGCUACUAUCGAUCAUGUAAAAAGUAUAGUCUGCCAUUAUGAGUUUUCUAGUACAGUAUCUUUAAGGUGUAGGGAGGGUGAGAUGCAUUUCCUGACACAAAUCAAGCUCAUGCGCCAAGAAGAGACCCACAGUCCCACAGCCAGCUUCAAUCCAGCCUUGAUCUUCAUAUUGCUUCCAACCCAAUGCAAGGUGGUGUACGUGAGCCCCCAUUUCAGUGACAAAGUUGUACUCCCGUAUGGAGUCCAGGCCCAACUUUUACAGUAUGUUUAGUAGUUCCCAAAAGAUGUAGAUGUGGGCUCGUCAAACCGUUACUCUAUUAAGCACUACUGUAUGUGCAGCUGUGCUUGUACUGUCAACUUCUGUUUUGUGCACAAGAAAUGCAUCCUCUGGCUUCUAUCUUUUGUCUGAAAAAAAAUAAAAAUAAAUCAUGUAUAAGGAAUAUGGGCCACCUAACAUGUUUCUAAUUCACAUGAGACUAGUAUGUUACCUAUACUCAUGCUUUCUUGAUGAUCAUUGCACUAGGCUAGCAAUGCGCCACUACUAGCCAAUAUUUGUGGCCGUAAACCAUAUUAUAUACUGGAUGUUGUAAAAGAUGACAUUCUUCAGCAAAUUAACAGGCAGGGGCAUGAAGUUAGGCGGCACCAAUUAAAUUAUAUAAACAGGGUUGUUUAUCAACAUUUAAUCGUCAUGACAAAUAAUUUAGAAACUGCGACAACUAUCCACAUGGUAAAUGAAACACGAUUGAAAUUGUAGCGACAAAUCAGAUGUCUAUAUCUAAAGGGGAUGGCUUAAGGCCCUUUGUUUUUGGUCCAAAAAGACGUUUAAAUAAUUUGAUUUUGCAGUUGACAUGAUAACAAUUGAUAAGGUGGAUAUUUGGACCAUUGUUUUAAAUGUAUGAACUAAUCGUUUUUUGGGACCUACAAUUCUACAAAGAUGGUUCCUUCACAACUACCACUACAAAGAUCUUUCCACAUAUUGUACAACUUUCAUUAUGAGUGUUUGAUGAAGAAGCCUUUUACAGUUUCACACACACAUGCCACAAAACACAGCCGCCUAUGAGACCCCUGUGCUCUACUUUUCCUUAAAUCUAUCAUCUAUCCAUGCUACCCAAACAUCGCACUAUAAAGUAUAAAGCCCGAAGACCAAAAGAAAAAAAUAAAUAAAAAAUAAGAGUGCAGACUCUAAACUAUGAUCUGCCCUUAGUAUAGUACUACACUCACUGUCCUUGUAUUUUAAAAUUUAAACUACUCUGCACAGUGUCUUAACACCCUUUUACUGCAUGCAAAUAAACCGUAUCUUUGCACAUGCUACCUUGUCUCAUCUUUGCUGGAUUGGUUACUAGGGGGUAUUUUAGUCAUCUGGCAGUGAUGUAAAUUAAUAACUGCUUU